CGCGUUCCUCCACCCAACUUCCCUCGUCCCCGAUCGCAUCGCAUCGAACCGAAUCGCCUUGAGGCUCCCACCAGAAUAGCUCCGCGACAACGAGCUUCCUCCCGCGAGCGAAAAGAUCGCACAGAAGGAGGUGCGGAAGCGAGGGUGUGUGCGCGCGCGAGGGAGAUGGGAUCGGAUGGCCGGAGCUGGAACGGGGUCGCCGGCGGGGCCAGAGGUGACGGUGAGGAGAAGACGAGGACGGUGGCGGCUCCGGCGCCGGCGCUGGCGGAGGUGCCCACGUCGACCGCCUCGGUAGACAUCUCGCUGCCGCUUCCCGAGAUGACUCCCCGCAUCAUAGAUCUCUGCAAGGAGUUGGUGAAGGAGUGGUCGUCCUUGGACAGCUCGUGCUUCUCAAUCUCGACGGUGUCCGGCGGCAUCACCAACAUGUUGCUGAAGGUAUCUGUCAAGGAAGGCUCUGAUAGUGAGUCAUCUGUAACUGUUCGGCUGUAUGGCCCAAAUACAGACUUGGUGAUCGAUCGGGAGAGGGAAUUGCAGGCCAUACCAUAUCUCUCAGCUGCAGGGUUCGGGGCUCGGUUACUUGGAGUAUUUGAGAAUGGAGUGGUUUCGUCAUUCAUCCAUGCUAGGACACUAUCACCUUCAGACAUGAAGGAGCCUAGAAUUGCCGCUGAAAUUGCCAAGCAGCUACAGAAAUUUCAUCAAGUAGAUAUACCGGGAUCAAAAGAACCACAGUUGUGGAAUGACGUAUUCAAGUUUUUGAAAAAAGCUUCUGUAUUGAAGUUUGAAGAUAAUGAGAAGCAGAAGAGGUAUGAGAUGAUCUCUUUUAGAGAAAUACAAGAUGAAGUUAAAGAACUUAAGGAUCUCUCCGAUCUUUUGCAUGCUCCUGUUGUGUUUGCACACAAUGACUUGCUAUCGGGUAAUCUGAUGCUGAAUGAUUUGGAAGAGAAGCUAUAUUUCAUUGAUUUUGAGUAUGGGUCAUAUAGCUACCGUGGCUUUGACAUCGCGAAUCAUUUCAAUGAGUACGCAGGCUUUGAGUGUGACUACAACUUGUACCCAGAUAAAGAUGUACAAUACCAUUUCUUCAGGAAUUAUCUAUCUGAUAGACCAAGUGAGGUUGUGCAGGCCUCGUCUCCGAGGGAAGAAAGAUAUUCAUAAGCGCCCACUACUGUAACUUAGAUGGUGCUCAUUCCAAGAGUAUCUUUGUUUCUUAUUUUGGAAUUAAAUUACAAACACCAUGUCAUGUACUACAUAUACUUGACAUUUAUACAUCUUUUAAGUUAAAGAAUAGAUGAUUUGCAUCUUUUUAUGAGAAAAGAAAUGUAGGAUACUUGGCAUUUGUACAGUACAAGGUAGUAGGAAGACAUUCAGAGUGUUACUGAGAAAACAAGAGUUUUCCCCGAAUAGCAGAACACAGAUAAUUUCACAUAAUGUACUUUCACCAUAACAAUCUAACUUUUCUUUUACCGAAGGUCCAAGAGCAGGAUCUGGAUGCCCUUUAUACUGAAACGAACACUUUCAGGUUAGCAUCACACCUCUACUGGGCAUUGUGGGCACUCAUUCAGGCAAGGGUAUCCCCAAUUGAUUUCGAUUACCUUGGAUACUUCUUCCUACGGUACGGCGAAUACAAGAAACAGCGAGAGUUCUGUUUCUCCUUGGCGCAAGGCUUCCUUUCUUCACUGAGGAGUGGCUAGUGCUCAGAAGUUGUGUCCCCGAGCCACUUCUUAGCCGCCCGCUUAUACUUUGGGGCAGGCACGGAUGAUCGGCUUUGUACUGUGUUAAGUAGGGAGUCUCGUCGUAUGAUUAUGUCAGUUGUGAGAUUCUUCCUUUUUCGUUUUAUUUUCCUGCAGGAGGCAUGUAGUUUCCAAUAGAAAGUUGUACAAUCUGUGAAUAAUGUACACGUGUUGGUUGCUACAAACACAAGCCUAAUGAAUUCUGUUUUGUGUAUCA